rnacentral:rRNA from 1 species
CCAGCGGCGGACGGGUGAGUAAUGCUUAGGAAUCUGCCUAUUAGUGGGGGACAACAUUCCGAAAGGAAUGCUAAUACCGCAUACGCCCUACGGGGGAAAGCAGGGGAUCUUCGGACCUUGCGCUAAUAGAUGAGCCUAAGUCAGAUUAGCUAGUUGGUGGGGUAAAGGCCUACCAAGGCGACGAUCUGUAGCGGGUCUGAGAGGAUGAUCCGCCACACUGGGACUGAGACACGGCCCAGACUCCUACGGGAGGCAGCAGUGGGGAAUAUUGGACAAUGGGCGAAAGCCUGAUCCAGCCAUGCCGCGUGUGUGAAGAAGGCCUUUUGGUUGUAAAGCACUUUAAGCGAGGAGGAGGCUACUUAGAUUAAUACUCUAGGAUAGUGGACGUUACUCGCAGAAUAAGCACCGGCUAACUCUGUGCCAGCAGCCGCGGUAAUACG